CCGAGCUGGGUGCGUGACGAGUGACUGGGCUGGCCGCUUACGUUAAGGGCCUGGGCAUAGCUAGUAGGCUAUAUACUUAUUAUAAAUAAUGCAUGUUACGGCAUCACAGGCGUGGUUUGGUCUGAAACCUCCUUAAACGGAUUGGAAAGAAGAUCUGAUCUCCGAGAGAUGGAUCCUAAGCCCGUCCUCGCAUAUCCCGUUUCUGGCUUCAUGGUCAUAGCCAGCGAGGAGACCAGGAAGUGUGUUUCAGUGUGUUGACCUGGAAGAGAUUCCCUAAAUUAUGGGUGGGAGAUGGAGGAUGGGGCGCCUACAGUCACUUAUUCAAACUGAGUGAUUGCAAUAAUGGUCAUCUUGGCCACGUGCCAGUUCUUGCAUCAAAGUGAAUGCAAAGGGGCUUCAAAGAGUACGGCUUGAAGAACUUGAAGAAAAGCCUUGGAAGAAUCUGUUUUUGGCUUUAUUAUAAGAUCAAAUGAAUUCUGCAGAGAAUGAAUGAGAGUUGAACUUAUUUCUCAUUUGCAGUGCAGGGGUGGGGUGGGGUGGGGUGGGGGGGGGGGCUGAACUUAAUAGCAAUGACUAACAUUUCUGAUCAAAUAAAUGCAUGUUGACUCUAUACUGUAGCUAUGUUCCUUCAUUUGAAAGAUUUUAAUUUGAAUGAAGAAAUGUCUAUCAAGACCUGUGUCUUUAAACUCUUCGUCAAGCAGAGGUUUCUUUCUUGGGUUUUAGGGGGUCACAAACUACACGCGUUACUGAGCCAGUGAUACGUUUGACCUCUCUUGACUCGUCACAAUUAAGCAUAGGCAAUUCGUAUGUAUUAAGGGUACAUAUCCACAUUUUCCUCAACAUACUUUUGCAAGGACCUAUUUGUAAAAGGCAGGUGUUUGGCCCUGGUUUGUAAACAUUGCAGACAUUUAGCAGACGCUCUUAUCCAGAGCGAAGUGCGCAACUUUUACAUAGCAUUUUACGUUGUAUCCAUUUAUACAGCUGGACGUACACUGAAGCAAUGCAGGUUAAGCACCUCGCUCAAGGGUACGAUGGCAGUGCUCUACCCAGGAAUCAAAUUUAUGACCUUUCGGUUACAAGGCCAGUUCCUUACCCACUGUGCUACACUGCCGUAAGCAUCUAGUUCUUGAGCAGUGCAGGUCAUCCAGUUUUCACUUCAGUCUCUACACUACCUUUGGCUCUUGGCAGGACUCUUCUCUAUAAUAAUAACUUUAUGUAUAUAGCACCUUUCAUACAGAGUAUGUAGCUCAAAGUUCUUUGACAGACCAACACAGUCAUACCACAAUAUCAGAAUAAAACCGUAUCACCGUGAACCAUCUGUAUUCCUGCGUCGCACGUUUGGCGGUUUCUGUAAGAUUCUGAUCCCGCGUCAGGGUUUAACCUCCGUCUGCUUGGUUGUGUUACCCGGAGGCUUCCUUCUGUUCCUGGUGCAUCUCGGGCCGUCUUUUAAAGAGGUCUUCAGGCUGUAGACCAGGGAUCAGUAACUCUCGGUCCUCGAGGGCCGAGAACUGCUGGUUUUCCACCCUCCCUUUGCCUGGGAGUCGGUUGUGAAGACGGUCUGGCCAAUCGGUAGCACUAAUUACCCGGGAGAACAGAAAACCUGGGCUGGAUUUGGAAUCGAAGGCCAGAAUCGAUGACCCCUGCUGUAGACUAAUUAAAGACCGAGUGGAAAAGUUUGAGUACGAUUUCAAGAACACCCAUUCGAGGCACUAAUUUAAAAUUCUGCAGAUUUCUUUAGUGCAUUAAGCUUGGAAAAUAUUUUCCCCUGGCGUGUGAGUGAUGUGAAAAGUUGACGUCCUGAAGUAACUGGGAUUGAGGUCAGUUAUUCUGGCCAAUGAGGCGCACUGUCCCAGAAUGCACUCUCUGAAGGCUGCGUUAGAGACCGCAGCUUAGUUUAGCAGCACUGUGGCAGGCCUGCUCACACAACUGGGGGAAAAAUCAUGAUCUUGUCUUGUCCAAAAUCCGGCUGAGGCCUUUGAAAGCGGCAGAUGCUUGAUUUGCAUGAUUGGCAGUGUGGUAGCGUUUUUCGUGGAGGGGUUGGUAUGAAGUGACUCCAGAUGCUCUAUGGGGCAGGCAAGGUCAGGUUCUAUAAUUAUUAAAAAAAAAAAAAAAAAAACUUGAAGUGUUGAUUUAUUGAAGUAAUUUUCUUUUCCCAAGUGCAUAGAUUAACAACAAUUUGAAUUUGGGGGGAAAUGACGGUGAUCUUUCAAAACAUGGUGUGCUUUUGCGUUACUAAAAUUAAAAUGCAUAGUACUCUGGUUAGGUCAGUAAUAUCUAAUGCGGGAUGUUUUUCUGUUCCCUUGCAUUUUAGGUCCUCUGGGGCCUUUCCCUGGUCUUGGGCUUUUUAUCGCUACUCAUUGCUUUGAAAUAAUUUGGUUUGGCAGAACAUUUUACUGCAUUUUAAUUCAAUCAAGACCUCCCUCCCUUCCCUAACAAACUCAAUAUAUUAUGAUGUGAAAGAUGUAAUAUUCAUUUUUAACAGCCUAUGAUUUGAAAGGAAUAAUCUUAAACUAUGAUUUGAUAGCUUUCUAUCUUGAUUUGCGUUACAAUUGGAUUGCCUUGAAUGAACCUUUGAAUGCGAACCCUGUGUGUGUGUAUAAACCUGGCUUUCUGCCUUCAACUGCACACGCCAUGUUGUACACACGCUGCCAUAAAGGUAAGGCUUCACGAUAGUCUUCAUCUUCACAUUACAUUUAUUUAGCAGA